GCGGUAAUGAGACGCCGAAGGAGACAUUACAGAGUUUUCUAACUCCCAAACCCAUGUGAACUUACCUUUGUUGCCUCGGCAGAAGCUACCCUGUAACGAGCUACCCUGUAGCGACUUACCCUGUAGCGAUCAUUCUGCCGGUGGACCAUUAAACUCUUGUUAUUUUAUUGUAAUCUGAGCGUCUUAUUUUAAUAAGUCAAAACUUUCAACAACGGAUCUCUUGGUUCUGGCAUCGAUGAAGAACGCAGCGAAAUGCGAUAAGUAAUGUGAAUUGCAGAAUUCAGUGAAUCAUCGAAUCUUUGAACGCACAUUGCGCCCAUUAGUAUUCUAGUGGGCAUGCCUGUUCGAGCGUCAUUUCAACCCUUAAGCCUAGCUUAGUAUUGGGAGUCUACUGUAUUGUAGUUCCUCAAAUCCAACGGCGGAUCUGUGGUAUCCUCUGAGCGUAGUAAAUUUUUAUCUCGCUUUUGUCAGGUGCUGCAGCUCCCAGCCGCUAAACCCCCAAUUUUUAAUGGUUGACCUCGGAUCAGGUAGGAAUACCCGCUGAACUUAAGCAUAUCAAUAAGUCGAAGGAAGAA
rnacentral:rRNA from 1 species